GCGCGCCUCAAUUUCAAAGGAUUAAAAUUAUUUAAGUGAGUGCCAUGCGUUUUGAUAUUUUAUUUAUCACGACACGACUCAAAUAAUUUCAAAGGGCUUUAUUCAAUUAAAUCAAAUUACGUAUAUUCAAGAUUGUCUCCUAAACUACUUUGAGAUUAUUGCAAUGCCGAAUUUAAGGACAAGAUAAUAUUAGGGGGCAAAUAGGCUAGCUAACAUGAUCUAUUAUUUGGCCAGAUUCCUUAGGGUCCAAAACUUCCUUAUGGGCCAUUCUUAUUCCUUGCCAAGAAAGAAACAACUCCAAUUUUUUCUAUUUACCCAAUUAAAAGCAUUUAUUCAAGAACCAAGUCUACAUAUAUCACAAUCGAAAUAAAAACUAAUUAAAAUAAUUUAAACAAAAACUAAGAAAUGCUAUUCAAAUAAUGUAGAAUCACAAAUCAACACGCGCACCAUACUAUUAUAACAUAAUGAAAUAAGAAUAAAAAUUGAGAAAUGGACCUUCUAUAGAGAUUUCAAUAGCAAAAUUUAAAAAAGAAAAAGACUUACGCUCAAAAACCUCGAACGUACCCCUCAAACAUAUAUCACGUCCAUUGAUAAUCCUAUUUGAUGUUGAUACAUAAUUAUUUGCACAACCGAUCGAAAGUGGGUGUGUGUAACAAAAUACGCAAACAAUUUCGACAUAUCAAUUGGUGGAACUCCCUUUGUCUCUUCUGGUUCUAUGCAAAUUGAUUUCAAGAUCAAUUUUACUUUUAACACUAAUUCACUAUUUAGUAUCCCUUUCCGUCUAUUCCCCCUCCCUGUUCAUGUACGUGUGUGUGUUUAUAUGUGAAUGAUUGGAAAAGCAGUGGGUGCUGCCAGCUUUCCCCUCAAUCUUUCUCUUUCCCCAGUUGUUUUCUAUUUCUAUUUUGUUUGGUGUGUGUUGCGGCUGCUUUUCCAAAAUCAGUUCAAGUGAGAGUCCGAUGGGAAUUUUGAUGGGUG
rnacentral:lncRNA from 1 species